UGGCUCAGUGGUUAAAGCGUCUGCCUGGAAUGCAGGAGACCCGGGUUCGAUCCCUGG
rnacentral:tRNA from 1 species